AUACGAAGGGGGCAAGCGUUGUUCGGAAUAACUGGGCGUAAAGCGCACGUAGGCGGAAUGUUAAGUUAGAGGUGAAAUCCCAGGGCUCAACCCUGGAACUGCCUUUAAUACUGGCAAUCUAGAGACCGAGAGAGGUGAGUGGAAUUCCGAGUGUAGAGGUGAAAUUCGUAGAUAUUCGGAGGAACACCAGUGGCGAAGGCGGCUCACUGGCUCGGUACUGACGCCGAGGUGCGAAAGCGUGGGGAGCAAACAGGAGUAGAAACCCCAGUAGUCC
rnacentral:rRNA from 1 species